GAACGUGUUUUAUGCCACUUCUUUUUCUGUCUCAUUUUGUCCACCAAACUUUUAACGUUGUGCAUGAAUGCACAAAGAUGAAAGAAGACAUAAUCCAUAAGAAAAGGGGGGUGAAACCAGAGCGUCGUUCUCACCAUUCACGGGUCUAAAUUGGCUGUCAAAGUGUACCAACUUGUCGGAAUAUGUCCUCAUCCUUCUACUAUCCAGAGGUAAUUGCUGCAGCUUCACUCAGAGUGUGAGAAGAUGUCAUCCUCGACUUCGCGCUGUGAAAUAUUACAUCUUUUGUCCAGGAUGGAAAGGCCGCCGUUGGCUGGAAGUUGAUGGAGGAGGUGGACAUUGUUGCUCACUCCGGAGAUUUAGGAGGUAGGUCUUCCCACUUUCUUGACAACACAUGAGCGUGUGUGGGAGUGUUCCCUCAACUAAAGGGAGGAAAAAUAAUGAGCGAGAGGGAGCCAUUGGAAUAACGGCUAACAAGGGAAAGGGGGCAACUCAGGAGGUCGACCACAAAAU